rnacentral:rRNA from 1 species
GACGAACGCUGGCGGCGUGCUUAACACAUGCAAGUCGAACGGUAAGGCCCUGCUUUUGUGGGUUGCUCGAGUGGCGAAAGGGUGAGUAACACGUGAGUGACCUGCGCUUGACUUUGGGAUAACUUCAGGAAACAGGGGAUAAUACAGGAUAGAAGCUCCUGCUGCAUGGUGUGGGUUGGAAAGAUUCGGCGGUUGGGGAUGGACUCGCGGUUUAUCAGCUUGUUGGUGAGGUAGUGGCUUACCAAGGCUUUGACGGGUAGCCGGACUGAGAGGGUGACCGGCCACAGUGGGACUGAGAUACGGCCCGGACUCCUACGUGAGGCAGCAGUGGGGGAUAGUGCACAAUGGGCGGAAGCCUGAUGCAGCAACGCCGCGUGCGGGAUGACGGCCUUAGGGUUGGAAACCGCGUUCGCCUGGGAAGAAGCGUGAGUGACGGUAAUUUGUAAAGAAGCACCGGCUAACUACGUG